GACGAACGCUGGCGGCGUGCUUAACACAUGCAAGUCGAACGGAAAGGCCCUGCUUUUGUGGGGUGCUCGAGUGGCGAACGGGUGAGUAACACGUGAGUAACCUGCCCUUGACUUUGGGAUAACUUCAGGAAACUGGGGCUAAUACCGGAUAGGAGCUCCUGCUGCAUGGUGGUGGUUGGAAAGUUUCGGCGGUUGGGGAUCGACUCGCGGCUUAUCAGCUUGUUGGUGGGGUAGUGGAUUACCAAGGCUUUGACGGGUAGCCGGCCUGAGAGGGUGACCGGCAACAUUGGGACUGAGAUACGGCCCAGACUCCUAAGGGAGGCAGCAGUGGGGAAUAUUGCACGAUGGGCGGAAGCCUGAUGCAGCAACGCCGCGUGAGGGAUGACGGCCUUCGGGUUGUAAACCGCUUUCGCCUGUGACGAAGCGUGAGUGACGGUAAUGGGUAAAGAAGCACCGGCUAACUACGUG
rnacentral:rRNA from 1 species